CCACACACGCGCAUGCUUCUUGUGUUUGAUUAUUUUCCUGACUCCUGGAUAUUCUAAAGAACUUUCCUUUGGCUCUUCCACUUUCGCUCUCAGAUGGUCAGUGUCUUAUUUCCCUGGGGCGUGUUUGAAGCCAGACGUCAAAGACAAAUCUGUUUGACCUUUCAAAAGAAGUGCCACCAAGAUUUCGAUGAAGAGUAUGAAGCUGAUGCAGUCAUCUGGGAAAACUGACAUCGUGCCAGGUGACAGUUUAGAGAUGUAACUGCGACUGUGUUUUGAGGACUGUAUACAAUUCCUUUGACAACUGGGGAAGCUUCUGGAAUACUGCGAAGGUCUGUUUCAUCUGUAAGAGGGUACGACAAACUUGUUGAGGGAGGUCCGGUUGUGGCUCUGAGGUUAAUGAAUCUGACCAGCAUCCAUGAAGAUGCAGAUUCGA